rnacentral:lncRNA from 1 species
UCCACAACAAGGAUUAUUCAGCUGCAAAACUGGAUUACUAGGAAGCUUAAUCUCUGGCCUAAACUGCCAUCCAAGUCAAAGGUGGGUUCUUUAUUGCUUGUAGUAAAUACCAAACAUGUUCCCAAGGCUCUGUAAUUAACCUUUUUUCUAAAGGGGAAGUCAAUUCCCACAGUUUCCCUGCAGAACUGCAUAGCCUUGCAUCCUGUCUGCAGAGAGCUAACAUUUUUCAUCCUUCAGCAACUCCUGUGGGGAAUAUUUACAGCUGGCAGCAGGAAGGUCCAGCUCAGAGCAAGCUCCUGCAGAGGGUUUGUCCAUUCUGUCAGCAUCAGAGGAGCUGGUAAGUGCAGAAUUGGAAUGUGAAAAAUGUCAAGUGUGAUACAAGAACCCUUAAUGUAAGAGAAUCACAGAAUCACAGAGUGAACUGGGUUGGAAAAGAGCUUUGAGAUCAUCAAGUCUGACCUAUGACCUAAGACCUCAUCAACUAAACCCUGGCACUGAGUGCCAUGUCCAAGCUCUUUCUAAACUGUUCUGUUUGGAAAUAAACUUUUAAAACUUUUGACCUGUGAGUGAAAC